GAGAUUCCUGUUCUCAACCAAAGCCAAAGGGUGUGACUUCUCAUUGUCCUGCAUAGGGACAGAGGCCAGCUUAUUGAAGUUAAACAUAGCUGCUUCGGCCACAGCUUGGUGACCAUUACUGAGGUGAUGGCAUUUAGCAAAGAACAAGAUAUUAGGGAAGAGAUUCUUGGCUUUACUUCACAGUCCCUCUCUGAAUUCAACUGUGAUGAUGUUUUAAGAACAAGCAGGAAUAAGGGAGGACGAAACAUCAGAAGCCAAAAGAAAAGAUCUCACGGUUGUCCAAGGAAGAGCAAGGGAAAUAAGAAGGUCUGGAAAGUGGUGACAAGAAUAAAAUCGGUACUUGAAGACAGUUUUGAAAAGGAGAAGGAAGAAAAAAAACAUAUCAUAAUGGUGUUUUAUUGCCACUCAAAUGAAGAAAGGAAAAGUCAAAAGAAGGAGAAUGCAGAGGGUUAUGAAGAAUUUCUUAUUCCAAAUGAUGCCAUUGUCUCAUCUGGGUCGGGCCCAGUGGCAGAAUGUUCUGCAUCCUCUCCCCAAAAUUGAGAGCAGUAGUUAUUUUGUUUUUUGUAAUGAGAUCAAAUAGUAUACCAUCAUAUGAGAAUGUUUGGGCAUUUUUGAAUCAAAUGUAAUAAAAAUAUUAAGUGAAAAUUA
rnacentral:lncRNA from 1 species